rnacentral:rRNA from 1 species
AGCGAACGCUGGCGGCGUACUUAACACAUGCAAGUCGAACGGGGGAUCAUCGGUGUAGCAAUACAUCGGUGGUUCUAGUGGCGCACGGGUGAGUAACACGUGGGUAACCUGUCCUUGAGUUCGGGAUACCCUCUCGAAAGGGAGGCUAAUACCGGAUACGUUCCCCGGAUUGCGAAAUCUAGGGAGGGAAGGCGGCGCAAGCUGCCGCUCUUGGAGGGGCUCGCGGCCUAUCAGCAGCUGGUGAGGUAACGGCUUACCAAGGCUAUGACGGGUAGCUGGUCUGAGAGGACGACCAGCCACACGGGAACUGAGACACGGUCCCGACUCCUACGGGAGGCAGCAGGUGGGGAAUUUUCCGCAAUGGGCGAAAGCCUGACGGAGUGACGCCGCGUGGGGACGAAGGCC